GAUUCUAGAGCGGAUAUACAGGCCCUACAGUAAUAAAACAUUCAAAUGGUAACCUUUAAGUUUGAUGCAUGCUUCUUCUGCAAAAAUGCUAAGAAUAUAGCCAGCAACCAAAUCCAUUUUUUUAGAUAUCUGCAGAUUUCACAUUCAGGGAGGCUAUAAAGAUGCAUCAUGCACUUUUAAUAAUGACUUGAAAUCAUAGUAGCAGAUGACCACUUCAGUUAUGACACAAUGAAAGUUGGAAUCCUGAAACAUAAAUGCAUGACUAUCACCAGAGUCAGCAUUGAAGUGUGACUAUCAUCAGAAUCUGCAUUUUAACCAAUUGCCUGUCACUAGCUGCUUGGAAGCUUAAGUUGAGAAUCAUGUUGCCAAAAUGUAAGAACUUGCAAGUUGCAAAUAAAGUUAAAGCAUAGCAAUAUGCAUAUGUAGCCACAUGACUGCCACCAGCUGCCGCAUAGAAAUUCUUCUCAAGAGUUAAAUUCCUUAUAAUUUAUGCACGAAUUAGAUAGAGAGCAGUUUUGCAAAUCUCAUCUCCGUUUUUAUUAAUAAAUGAAACUUGUGCUGAUAAAAGCACUAAAGGGCGUGUUACUUAUGUGCAAACAGGACUGCCUGCAAAAUUUACAAAAGCAAAAUGACAACUACCAAUGAACCAAUCAUCCCAAAUUUCACGGUAUGAAAUGACUCGUAUUUAACCUUAUCAAUUGAAGAUUUUAUAUUUUCAAAAGAUAGCAAAAAUUCCAUUCUAGUAUAGCCAAUGCAAUGGCAUUGCACAAUGCUUUUAUAAACGGAACUGAACCUCCAAAGUAACAUUCUUUCCCUGAUCCUUUUCAGCUCUCUAUUCUUCACGAUUUGACUAUGGAAUCUCCACCAGCUGUGUUACCUUUCUCAAAGCUCAAAACUGGUGACUUGCCAAAGCUUUUACAGCUGAUGCUUAUCAGCUCUUCAGCAAGGAUCUUGUUUUUGAGCUAAGCUACAGCAAAUUUUUUUUUUACUCUCUUUUUACUUGAAUUAAUUUCUUGUUUCUCCAUCUUUGGUUGGGUUAGCUAACAUCCUAAUUUUGGUUGGCUCUGUUCGGACCCGAGAUUCAGGCCCAAC
rnacentral:misc_RNA from 1 species